ensembl:snRNA U6 U6 spliceosomal RNA
GUGCUUGCUUUGACAGCACUAAUACUAAAACUGGAACAAUACAGAGAAGAUUAGACAUGGCCUCUGUGCACAGAUGACACGCAAAUUUGUGAAGCAUUCCAUAUUUAA